rnacentral:sRNA from 1 species
GCACUGGCAAAAUCCAGUGUCGAGAUUAGCCUCUCGAAACUUACUAGGCGCAAGUCGCCAGCAUCCCGCUGGUUUUUU